rnacentral:piRNA from 1 species
AUGAAGUCGUGGACAUUUAAAAAU